rnacentral:misc_RNA from 1 species
UACGGAGGGUGCGAGCGUUGUCCGGAUUUAUUGGGUUUAAAGGGUGCGUAGGCGGGCUUGUAAGUCAGUGGUGAAAUCCCGCAGCUUAACUGUGGAUGUGCCAUUGAUACUGCAGGUCUUGAGUACCGUUGGGGUAGGCGGAAUUUAUGGUGUAGCGGUGAAAUGCAUAGAUACCAUAAAGAACACCGAUAGCGUAGGCAGCUUACUGAACGGAGACUGACGCUGAGGCACGAAAGCAUGGGUAGCGAACAGG